GACUGGCAGAAAGGCUUAAUACACCCACACAACCCCAAGAGAGGGGAAAACCAGCAACCUCCUCCUAGGGAGUUUAAUGAAAAUUAGCAGGUAAAAGAGGCCUCCUCAGCAGCACGCUGAAAAUCAAAGAGGGCGGCCGGAGGGCCGAAGGGUUCGGACUGCGGAGGAGAGCUACGUCCUCGGACCCCACCUCCCUUCACCUUCCCGGCAGGACGAAAAAGGCGAAGGCUCAUUAGUGCCUUCGUUAAUUGACACCUGUAAUGAGGAAACUUUCCGAGAGGUGGCAUUUAGAGACUUGGAACUCCGGAAGGAAAGCCCCCAAGGAAUACUUGUUACUGGUUUAAAACAGUCAUGGUAGGGCUGAACCUGUGUUUGAGUCCUUGCCAGUGAAAUGUGAGCAGAAAUCUGCAGAGUGGAUCUUUUGGAAAGAAUUGCCCAUUACUAAUAAAAAAGGGACAAAUUCAGUAGUCCUCACCCUUAUCCCUUCUUUCUGCAUGAAACGUGGUCUUGAUAUACAAAAUAAUACAGCAUCUGUUGUCUAAUUUUUGUUUCUGUUUUUUACAAUGAAACCACAAAUAGGAUAAAAGCGAACUAUAAAGUUGAUAGUGCAGAAAAUUUAGAGGUGGGUCUCUAAUACAUCCUAGAGCAGCAGUUCCCCAUGCCCCCCCUAGUUAUGUCUGCCCCGUUUUCUUUAAGCCAUUCUUAGGUUUCCAUUACUUGUGGCCAAACACAUUCCUGAUACAGAAAGUGAGGACAACUAUUACUGUACAUGUGGAGAGUACUUCUAGGAUGUAUUGAAGACACAGUCUGAUCUUCAAAGAAAAAUUUUUUUAAUAAUU